UACGUAGGGGGCAAGCGUUGUCCGGAUUUAUUGGGCGUAAAGAGCGUGUAGGCGGCCAUACAGGUCAGCUGUGAAAACUCGAGGCUCAACCUCGAGACGUCGGUUGAAACCGUAUGGCUAGAGUCCGGAAGAGGAGAGUGGAAUUCCCGGUGUAGCGGUGAAAUGCGCAGAUAUCGGGAAGAACACCCGUGGCGAAGGCGGCUCUCUGGGCAGUGGCUGACGCUGAGGCGCGACAGCGUGGGGAGCAAACAGG
rnacentral:rRNA from 1 species